rnacentral:rRNA from 1 species
ACGGGUGAGUAAUGUCUGGGAAACUGCCUGAUGGAGGGGGAUAACUACCGGAAACGGUAGCUAAUACCGCAUAACGUCGCAAGACCAAAGAGGGGGACCUUCGGGCCUCUUGCCAUCAGAUGUGCCCAGAUGGGAUUAGCUAGUAGGUGGGGUAACGGCUCACCUAGGCGACGAUCCCUAGCUGGUCUGAGAGGAUGACCAGCCACACUGGAACUGAGACACGGUCCAGACUCCUACGGGAGGCAGCAGUGGGGAAUAUUGCACAAUGGGCGCAAGCCUGAUGCAGCCAUGCCGCGUGUAUGAAGAAGGCCUUCGGGUUGUAAAGUACUUUCAGCGGGGAGGAAGGUGUUGCGGUUAAUAACCGCAGCAAUUGACGUUACCCGCAGAAGAAGCACCGGCUAACUCCGUGCCAGCAGCCGCGGUAAUACGGAGGGUGCAAGCGUUAAUCGGAAUUACUGGGCGUAAAGCGCACGCAGGCGGUCUGUCAAGUCGGAUGUGAAAUCCCCGGGCUCAACCUGGGAACUGCAUUCGAAACUGGCAGGCUAGAGUCUUGUAGAGGGGGGUAGAAUUCCAGGUGUAGC